rnacentral:rRNA from 1 species
CCUACGGGAGGCAGCAGUGAGGAAUAUUGGUCAAUGGGCGGAAGCCUGAACCAGCCAAGUAGCGUGCAGGAUGACGGCCCUACGGGUUGUAAACUGCUUUUAUACGGGAAUAACGCGCCUUACGUGUAGGGCUUUGCAUGUACCGUAUGAAUAAGGACCGGCUAAUUCCGUUCCCGCAGCCGCGGUAAUACGGAAGGUCCGGGCUUUAUACGGAUUUAUUGGGUUUACAGGGAGCGUAGGCCGCAUGUCCAGCGUGCUGUGAAAUGUCCGGGCUCAACCCGGGCCUUGCAGCGCGAAAUGGCGUGCUUGAGUCCGCGGAAAGCAGGCGGAAUUCGUCGUGUAGCGGUGAAAUGCUUAGAUAUGACGAAGAACCCCGAUUGCGAAGGCAGCUUGCUGCAGCGGAACUGACGCUGAUGCGCGAAAGCGCGGGUAUCGAACAGGAUUAGAUACCCUUGUAGUC